rnacentral:rRNA from 1 species
UACAGAGGUCUCAAGCGUUGUUCGGAUUCAUUGGGCGUAAAGGGUGUGUAGGUGGCGCCGUAAGUCGGGUGUGAAAUUUCGGAGCUUAACUCCGAAACUGCAUUCGAUACUGCAGUGCUUGAGGACUGGAGAGGAGACUGGAAUUCAUGGUGUAGCAGUGAAAUGCGUAGAGAUCAUGAGGAAGACCAGUGGCGAAGGCGGGGUCGUCUGGACAGUUCCUGACACUGAAGCACGAAGGCCAGGGGAGCAAACGGG